rnacentral:rRNA from 1 species
CGGUGCGCGCGCAGGUGCGUUGUCGUCUUGAAUAUAUAAAAACGACUCUAGACAACGGAUAUCUUGGCUCUCACAUCGAUGAAAAACGUAGUGAAAUGCGAUACUUGGUGUGAAUUGCAAAAUCCCGUGAACCAUCGAGUUUUUGAAUGCAAGUUGCACCCGAAGCCAUUAGGCAAAGGGCAUGCCUAUUUGGAUGUCACACGCCGUUGCCCCUUCCCCCGCACCUCCCUUGGGAGCAUUAGGGGUUGGAUAAUGGCCUUCAUUGAGUCACCCCGAACGGUUGGCACAAAUACAGGUCCUCGACAACGAACGCCACGACAAUCGGUUGUUGUCAAUCCUCGGUUGCCUGUUGUGCACUUUCACCUCGCUCUGAGCGGCUCGUGACACUCGCUGCUCUACUUCGUUGGAGCUUUCAACGCGACCCUAGGUUAAGCGGGGUUACCCACUGGAUUUAAGCAUGUCAAUAAGUGGAGGAAAAGAAACUUGCAAGGAUUCCUUUAGUAACGAUGAGUGAACCGGGAAUAGCCCAGCUCAAAUUAUAGUCUGGAGAAGCAUCCUUAGCAAUGGACCGAGCUUAAGUCCAUUAGAAGGUGGCAUCGGAAAGGGUGAAAGCCCUGUUGUGCUCGUACCUUGUCGCACGACGAAGUGAUGUCGGUAAGUCGGGUUGUUUGGGAAUGCAACCCCAAUCGGGCAGUAAAUUAUGUCCAAGGCUAAAUACUACCGAGAGAUCGAUAGCAAACAAGUACCAUGAGGGAAAGAUGAAAAGAACUUUGAAAAGAUAGUCAAAGAGUGCUUGAAAUUGUCAGGAAGGAAGCGGAUGGUGGCUGGCGAUGCGCCCUGGUCGAAUGUGGAACAGUCACAAGUUGAUCCUCUGAUCAGCUCGGGGUGUGGACCGUAGAGAUACCAUCAUCGCGAUCGUGGUGGGCAGCGUGGGCCUUCUCGGGGUGCUUCGGCAACUGUGGGCUUUUGGCGCCUGCCAGUGAGCUCCCCAUUCGACCUGUCUUGAAACACAGACUAAGGAGUCUGAUAUGUGUGUGAGUUAAUGGGUGAUUAAACCCGUAAGGUGUAAGGAAGCUGACUGUCAGGAUCCAUUUGAGGGUUGCACCACUGAUCGACCUUGAUCUUCUGAGAAGGGUUCGAGUGUGAGUAUGCCUGUCGGGACCCGAAAUAUGGUGAACUAUGCCUGAGCGGAGCGAAACUAAAGGGAACUCUGGUGGAGGCUUGCAACGAUACUGACGUGUAAAUCGUUUGUGUGACUUGGGUAUAUGGGUGAAAGACUAAUCGAACCGUCUACUAGUUGGUUCCUUCCAAAGUUUCCUUCAAGAUAGCUAGAGCUCAUGAACAAGUUAUAUCGGGUAAAGCCAAGGAUUAGAAGCAUUGGGGGCUCAAUGCCCUCGACCUAUUCUCAAACUUUAAAUAGGUAGGAUGGUGUGGCUGCUUUGUUGAGUUACACCAUAGAAUCGAGAGCUUUAAAAGGUGUUGGUAAGUAAAACUGGCAAUGCCGGAUGAACCAAAAGCCGGGUUACGGUGCCCAACUGCGCGCUAACCUAGAACCCACAAACAGUGGUCAUGAAAGUUGAAAUCCUCUAAGGAGUGUGUAACAACUCACCUGCUGAUUCAACUUGCCCCAAAAAUGAUUGCGCUGAAGAGCGUGACCUAUACCCGACCGUCGAGGCAAGUGCCAGGCCCCAAUGAGUAGGAGGGAGUGGCGGUCGCUGCAAAACCUAGGGCACGAGCCCGAGCGGAGUUGUUGUGGGUGUAGAUCUUUAUGGUAGUAGCAAAUAUUCAAAUGAGAACUUUGAAGGCCGAAGAAGGGAAAUGUUCCAUGUGAAUGGCACUUGCACAUGGGUUAGUCAAUCCUAAGAGACCGGGGAAGCCCGUCUAAUAACGCCUCGCGCGAACUUCGAAAGAGAAUCGAGUUAAAAUUUCUAAAUUGGGACGUGGCGGUUGUUAUCUUUUUUAUUUAACAACCUGCCCACCCCAGAAACAGCUUAGCUGGAGGUAGGGUCUAACGGUUAGAAGAGCAUCGCACAUCGUGUGGUGUCCGGUGCACCCCUGGUGGCCCUUGGAAAUCCGGAUCAAGUAUCCAAGAUGAACAAUCUCUGGUCGAUUGAAUAAUGUAGGCAAGGGAAGUUGGCAAAAUGGAUCUGUAACUUCGGGAAAAAGAUUGGCUUUAAGGAAUGGGCACGAAGGUCCUAGCCUAGAAUUUGUCGGCUGUCGGCAGACUACUCGAGCUGCUCACAUGGCGAUAGUGGGUCUCCGUAUUCCAGUCGGGGGAAAGACUAGGAAUGGUUCCUUCAAGACUUUCCCCAGGCAGUGAACAUUCAGCUCAGAACUGGUAUGAACAAAGGGAAUCCGACUGUUUAAUUAAAACAAAGCAUUGCAAUAGUCCAUUCGGAUGCUAACGCAAUGUGAUUUCUGCCCAGUGCUCUAAAUGUCAAAGUGAAGAAAUUCAACCAAAUGCGGGUAAAUGGUGGGAGUAACUAUGACUUUCUUAAGGUAGCCAAAUGCCUUAUCAUCUAAUUAGUGAUACGCAUGAAUGGAUUAAAAAGGUAAAAGAUCAUUUGAUUCUGAUUUCCAGUACGAAUACGAAUUGUGAAGGCGUGGCCUAUCGAUCCUGUAGACCUUCAGAAUUUGAAGCUAUAGGUGUUAGAAAAGUUACCACAUAGGUAACUGGCUUGUGGCAACCAAGCGUUCAUAGCGACGUUGUUUUUUUAUCCUUCGCUAUCGGCUUUUCCUAUCAUUGUGAAUCAGAAUUCACCAAGUGUUAGAUUGUUCACCCACCAAUAGGGAAUGUGAGUUGGGUUUAGACCGUCGUGAGAUAGGUUAGUUUUACCAUACUGAUGACAGUGUUGCAUUAGUCAUUCAACCUAGUACGAGAGGAACCGUUGAUUUACACAAUUGGUCAUCGUGCUUGGUUGAAAAGCUAGUGGCGUGAAGCUACCCUGCGCUGGAUUAUGACUGAAUGCCUCUAAGUUAGAAUUCGGGCUAAAAGCAAUACGUGCUGCCCGAUUGCACACUUG